rnacentral:piRNA from 1 species
UGAUCGGAUCCACCCGAUUGGUUCUAGC